AACAAACGCUGGCGGCGUGCCUAAUACAUGCAAGUCGAACGAGGAAAGCUUUCGGGUGAGUACUAGUGGCGCACGGGUGAGGAAUAUAUGGGUAAUCUGCCCUCGAGUUGGGGAUAACCAGUCGAAAGACUGGCUAAUACCGAAUAAGACCACAGGAUCUGCGGAUCUAGGGGUGAAAGGUUUUUCGCUUGAGGAUGAGCCCAUACGGGAUUAGCUAGUUGGCGAGGUAAUGGCUCACCAAGGCUACGAUCCCUAACUGGUCUUAGAGGAUGAUCAGUCACACUGGAACUGAGACACGGUCCAGACUCCUACGGGAGGCAGCAGUAGGGAAUAUUGCACAAUGGGGGAAACCCUGAUGCAGCGACGCCGCGUGAGUGAUGAAGGCCUUCGGGUCGUAAAGCUCUGUCGUAUGGGACUAACACAAUGAAGGUACCAUGCAAGAAAGGAUCGGCUAACUUCGUGCCAGCAGCCGCCGUAA
rnacentral:rRNA from 1 species